UACGAAGGGGGCUAGCGUUGCUCGGAAUCACUGGGCGUAAAGCGCACGUAGGCGGGUUGUUAAGUCGGGGGUGAAAUCCUGGAGCUCAACUCCAGAACUGCCUUCGAUACUGGCGACCUUGAGUCCGGGAGAGGUGAGUGGAACUCCGAGUGUAGAGGUGAAAUUCGUAGAUAUUCGGAAGAACACCAGUGGCGAAGGCGGCUCCACUGGCCCGGUACUGACGCUGAGGUGCGAAAGCGUGGGGAGCAAACAGG
rnacentral:rRNA from 1 species